rnacentral:rRNA from 1 species
GUCGAGCGAAUCGAUGGGAGCUUGCUCCCUGAGAUUAGCGGCGGACGGGUGAGUAACACGUGGGCAACCUGCCUAUAAGACUGGGAUAACUUCGGGAAACCGGAGCUAAUACCGGAUACGUUCUUUUCUCGCAUGAGAGAAGAUGGAAAGACGGUUUACGCUGUCACUUAUAGAUGGGCCCGCGGCGCAUUAGCUAGUUGGUGAGGUAAUGGCUCACCAAGGCGACGAUGCGUAGCCGACCUGAGAGGGUGAUCGGCCACACUGGGACUGAGACACGGCCCAGACUCCUACGGGAGGCAGCAGUAGGGAAUCUUCCGCAAUGGACGAAAGUCUGACGGAGCAACGCCGCGUGAACGAAGAAGGCCUUCGGGUCGUAAAGUUCUGUUGUUAGGGAAGAACAAGUACCAGAGUAACUGCUGGUACCUUGACGGUACCUAACCAGAAAGCCACGGCUAACUACGUGCCAGCAGCCGCGGUAAUACGUAGGUGGCAAGCGUUGUCCGGAAUUAUUGGGCGUAAAGCGCGCGCAGGUGGUUCCUUAAGUCUGAUGUGAAAGCCCACGGCUCAACCGUGGAGGGUCAUUGGAAACUGGGGAACUUGAGUGCAGAAGAGGAAAGUGGAAUUCCAAGUGUAGCGGUGAAAUGCGUAGAGAUUUGGAGGAACACCAGUGGCGAAGGCGACUUUCUGGUCUGUAACUGACACUGAGGCGCGAAAGC